CCUACGGGUGGCUGCAGUGGGGAAUAUUGCACAAUGGGGGAAACCCUGAUGCAGCGACGCCGCGUGAGUGAAGAAGUCAUUCGUUAUGUAAAGCUCUAUCAGCAGGGAAGAAAAUGACGGUAUCUAUGUAAGAAGCCAUGGCUCACUACGUGCCAGAAGCCGCGGUAAUACGGCGGGGGCCAGCGUUAUCCGGAUUUACUGGGUGUAAAGGGGGCGUAGACGGCAGUGCAAGUCUGGAGUGAAAGGCGGGGGCUCAACCCCCGGACUGCCCUGGAAACUGGACGGCUGGAGUGCAGGAGAGGGAAGUGGAAUUCCUGGUGUAGCGGUGAAAUGCGUAGAUAUCAGGAGGAACACCGGUGGCGAAGGCGGCGUACUGGACUGUAACUGACGCUGAGGCGCGAAAGCGUGGGGAGCAAACAGGAUUAGAUACCCGAGUAGUC
rnacentral:rRNA from 1 species